rnacentral:tRNA from 1 species
UGCGGGGUAGAGCAGUUGGUAGCUCGUCGGGCUCAUAACCCGGAGGUCGGGGGUUCGAGUCCUCCCUCCGCUACUA